rnacentral:rRNA from 1 species
UACGAACCGUGCGAACGUUGUUCGGAAUCACUGGGCUUAAAGGGCGCGUAGGCGGCUCGCGAGGUCGGGGGUGAAAUCCCACAGCUUAACUGUGGAAGUGCCUUCGAUACCGGCGGGCUGGAGGAAGGUAGGGGUGCGCGGAACUUCUGGUGGAGCGGUGAAAUGCGUUGAUAUCAGAAGGAACGCCGGCGGCGAAAGCGGCGCACUGGACCUUUUCUGACGCUGAUGCGCGAAAGCCAGGGGAGCAAACGGG